rnacentral:rRNA from 1 species
CCUACGGGUGGCAGCAGUGAGGAAUAUUGGUCAAUGGUCGGGAGACUGAACCAGCCAAGCCGCGUGAGGGAGGAAGGUACAGAGUAUCGUAAACCUCUUUUGUCAGGGAAAAACGGCGGGGACGUGUCCACGGAUGAGUGUACCUGAAGAACAAGCAUCGGCUAACUCCGUGCCAGCAGCCGCGGUAAUACGGAGGAUGCGAGCGUUAUCCGGAUUUAUUGGGAUUAAAGGGUGCGGUGGCGGUUUGUUAAGUCAGCGGUCAAAGCCCGGGGGUGAACCCCGGCCCGCCGUUGAAACUGGCAGUCUCGAGUUGGAGAGAGGUAUGCAGAGUGCGCGGUGUAGCGGUGAAGUGCAUAGGUAUCGCGCAGAACUCCGAUUGCGAAGGCAGCAUGCCGGCUCCACACUGACGCUGAGGCACGAAAGCGUGGGUAUCGAACAGGAGUAGAUACCCCUGUAGUC